rnacentral:misc_RNA from 1 species
AAGUCGUAACAAGGUUUCCGUAGGUGAACCUGCGGAAGGAUCAUUAAUGAAAUAACUAUGGCGUUGGUUGUAGCUGGCUCCUAGGAGCAUGUGCACACUCGUCAUUCUUAUCUUUCCACCUGUGCACUUAAUGUAGGUCUGGAUAACUCUCGCUCAUACCGAGCGGAUGCAGGGAUUGCCGUGUCGAAAGACCGGCUCUCUUUGAAUUUCCAGGUCUAUGUACCUUUACAAACUCCAAUUGUAUGAUAAUGAAUGUAGUCAAUGGGCUUUCAAGCCUAUAAAUCAAAAUACAACUUUCAGCAACGGAUCUCUUGGCUCUC